rnacentral:rRNA from 1 species
UACGGAGGAUGCAAGCGUUAAUCGGAAUUACUGGGCGUAAAGCGCACGCAGGCGGUAGAUCAAGUCGGAUGUGAAAUCCCCGGGCUCAACCUGGGAACUGCAUUCGAAACUGGCAGGCUAGAGUAUUGUAGUGGGGGGUAGAAUUCCUGGUGUAGCGGUGAAAUGCGUAGAGAUCUGGAGGAAUACCGGUGGCGAAGGCGGCCCCCUGGACAAAGACUGACCCGCAGGUGCGAAAGCGUGGGGAGCAAACAGG